ensembl:lncRNA
CUUUAUCUUUUGGGGCAGUCAUGGCCUAAUGGAUAUUCUAUGAAACCUGAAGGUCGCCGGUUCGAGUCUCAGGUCGGACAGAGAUUGUAGGUGGGGGAGUGAAUAUCCAGUGCUCUCUCCACCCUCAAUACCACAACUGAGGUGCUGGACCAGGAACCAAUUAUCUGGAGAUGUGUCUUGGGUCCCAAAAUAUCAUUGUCAGGCUGCCACACGCCAAGAGAUAAAAGAGAAUGAAUGGAGUCAAAUCCCAAAGUGACAUGACAGACUGGCUUCUUUUCCCUAUCUCUUCCAAAAAGGAACUGAUGUUGAAUUGUAUUCAUAAUUUAAGCCUUUGAGACGUAGAAAAAAGAUUGAAAACAGUCCCAUGGCCAGUGACUAUAUCCACCCUAAGGCCAGGAGAUGGAAAAUGAGAAAAUGACACUUGUGAAGACCUGGCCUUGGAUGACUGAUUAGAAGUGACUCAUUGACAGCAUGAGAUGGGACAUCCUGAACUACUAGAGCUACCAGA